ACCUGGGUGGCUCAGUCGGUUAAGCGUCCGACUUCAGCUCAGAUCAUGAUCUCUCGGUCUGUGGGUUUGAGCCCCACAUCAGGCU
rnacentral:tRNA from 1 species